rnacentral:rRNA from 1 species
AACGAACGCUGGCGGCAGGCUUAACACAUGCAAGUCGAGGGGCAGCAUAGAUUGUAGCAAUACAAUUGGUGGCGACCGGCGCACGGGUGCGUAACGCGUAUGCAACCUACCCGUCACAGGGGGAUAAUCCGGAGAAAUCUGGUCUAAUACCCCAUAACAUAUGGAUCGGCAUCGGUUCAUGUUGAAAUUUUCGGAGGUGACGGAUGGGCAUGCGUAGCAUUAGCUUGUUGGUGAGGUAACGGCUCACCAAGGCGACGAUGCUUAGGGGGACUGAGAGGUUUUCCCCCCACACUGGUACUGAGACACGGACCAGACUCCUACGGGAGGCAGCAGUGAGGAAUAUUGGUCAAUGGGCGCAAGCCUGAACCAGCCAUGCCGCGUGCAGGAUGACGGCUCUAUGAGUUGUAAACUGCUUUUGUACGAGGGUAAAGUGGGUUACGUGUAACCUUUUGAAAGUAUCGUACGAAUAAGGAUCGGCUAACUCCGUGCCAGCCGCCGCCGUAA